AUCCAGCUGACGUGUCCCGAAUAGGACGAAACAUGCGUCCAGGAU
rnacentral:hammerhead_ribozyme from 1 species